rnacentral:lncRNA from 1 species
ACUCGUGGAUUCCAUAUUUGUAAAUCCACGUGCCACUAAAAUUUAUUUAUCACUUGAAAAUGGGUGUUCGAGGCAUUUGUAGUCAUUUGCAUAUAUGCAAAACAGCAACAACAACUAAAAGGAAAAAAGGAAAAAAAAAGGGUUUUCCAGUGGACUCAUUCCUAGGAUGUGGCUGUUCAAGGCUUCUUGUUCCAGUGUCACGGUCUUUAGUGUCAUGUGUUUAUGUGCCCGCACUUUGCUCAGUGACUCUGCUACCUAAAAUGGCCCUCUAGAGGGACAUCAGCAAGAUGGCUGGUUAUAGACAGACUCCAGCUUUGCUUCCUCCCUCAACAAAGAAUGAAAACAAGGAAAAGCAGAACCAGCCACCUCCCUGAAAUGCAGUGGGGUCAGAUGUGUCGCAGAGCUCGGAGGGCCAUGGAAAUAGACUUGGAAAGGUGCGAGUUAACACACACACACAGCACAGCAUCUGCAGCCAGUCUCCUAACCAACCCUGAAUCAAGGGCAGUGGUCCCUACCCUUCCUAGUGCUUCAACCCUUCAAUACUGUGCCUCACUUUGUGGUGACCCCUACCCAUAAAGUGAUUUUUAUUGCUACUUCAUAACUAUUGACUUUGCUACUGUUACGAAUCAUAAGGUAGAUGUCUGAAAUGCUGAAUAUAUUUUCCUUGUCACAAACUGACCCGCAGGGGUCACGACCCACAAGUUGUGAAGUGCUGAUCAAGGGAGAAUGAGCAUAAGAACCCAGCAGUCUGCGCUCACCAGAUACCGGAUACGUGUUAGAAAAGCCUGCAGCCCACACAGGUCAAGGAAAGAGCCCACCCGCCAUCUCGAAGUUCAAGUCACACAGCCAGGACAUAGUCUGCCAGCUCAGCCUUGUGAACCAGUCUGGUAGCCCCUCAUCCCUGGAAGUUCCCUGAGCAACCCACCCUGAAUAGCUUAGUUUACAGAGGUCCCUCUAACAGGUGGCUGGCUCUUCCUAACUUCCUGUUGCCCUCGAACCACCUGACCAUUCAUAGCGGCCCACCCCUAGCUACAGGAAGCAUCCCAGCAACCAGCUAGUGGCUGAGGCCCACAGUGACAUAGUAACAGUAAGUCUCUGGGAAGCUUGACCCACAGAGGCCCCGCUGGGAAGAGUGACCCACUCCUCCGUACCCUUAAAAGCAGCCAGCAAUCCAUUGAGACUUCUAGAAACCAGUUCUGUGACCUUGCUCAUUCUCCUCCGGCCCCAGGUAGCCACUGGACACACUCUGUUCUCAGUUUCCUCUCAAGGAAGCUCUAAGAAGCAGACUGGACCCCACCUACCUAUUAUCAGACCAGGAACCUGCCAGAGAGCGGGUCCUGAGUAUAUUAGCUUCCAGAGGGCCUGCAAAUCUAUCCCUGCAGCCCUCAGAUACUCACAGGAGCCCUGAUGAGUUCUGCUUAUUUGCAAUGCUCAAAUAUUAGCAGGCACUUUGCUCCCAAGCGUGCUCUCCUGCACUCAGCCAGACCCUCGGGGACAGCAUGACCUCUGUCACAGAACAGACGGGCACCCCACAUCCAGAUCCACUGCAGAGCUGCCAGCAAACACGCUUCCCCCGAGAGAGCCGCUUGUCAGCUGGCAGUGAGUUAGUUCUACAUGCUCUGCAGCGUGAACCUCCAAGACACCCACAUAUGUUGCAGAUGUUGAUUACAACUGAAGAAGUUGCAUGACUAAAACAUCUGCCCGGAGCCUACGCUAAACAGCCUGCCAUUGCACAGAUUGCCAGGAAAAAGCCCCGCUGUAGAAACCACCCUGUAAAACUGGUAGUCGGUGGUUCUGCCAGCUGGAUAGACAUCCAAGCCAACACACGAGAGAAACAUUUUUAAGAUGUAAUGGAACCACAUAGUAAAUUCAGCAACGGACUCCACAAAGAAAAGGAACUUAAUUACCUGACAGAAUUCAAAAGUGUAAUUCCAAGAAGUUAAAUGAGCUGUGAAAGCAUAUGAACGAUUCGAUGGAAUUAGGAAACUAGAUUAUCAUGUGUAUAAGGAACUUAGCAAGGAGCAGGAGAUCAAAUAAAAACCAAAGGGAAAUCUUCGAGCCAAAUAAUAAUUUAAAAAACAAGUCAAGAGGCCCAACAACAGAAUAGAUUACACAGAAAGAAUUUCUGAACUUGACAUGCUUUGAACAGAACAGGUUAAAAACAAAGGAAAAUG